rnacentral:lncRNA from 1 species
ACAGCAGUAUAAGCUAGACUACGACAUUUGUCUAAGAGUGGUCUCCCUACUUAGGUUUAAGUUUCUUGUGUGCAGAGGCAAUUUAAAGGCACAGAUCGAGUUUUCAAAUAUUUGUCUCAUGGGACCUAUGCCAUAUGUCAGCUUUCAUCACCAUCAAAGAAAAGCUGCCACUACGGAGUGUGUGUGUAUGUGUGUGUGUGUUUUCUACUCAGCUUCAAGCUGGAUUGCCUAGUAUAAGGAGAUUUAGAGUUGUUUCUCUGAGAUUUAGACUAACUAGCAAUGAUUAGCCAUCAUCAAAGCCUAGGUUUUAUUCUGGAGCAAUUAUCACUGUUACAAGCAGGAAAUGUGAUUAUAUGGCUUAUUGUUUUCUUCUGAUGAUUAAUUUAUUUGGGACAUUUGAUGCUGCUGCUGCUGAUGAUAAUGAUAAUUUGGCAUUAUCAAUAAUAAUAAUAGUAAUUAUUAUUUGGCCCUGCCAAAAACCUCUAAAUUCCUGCUCCUUUUUAAAUGGAACACCAUGUAGUGAAAAACAUGGCAUCUGUCAUUUUCACUGAAAAAAAUAAAAAUCUGUCCUUUUAAGCCAUCUCAAUUGAAGGCAGAAUUUAAUAACAUGCUUUUCCUGACUGCUGGGUAAUUGAAAAAGAAAUAAAAAUAAAAAACUUUUAAAACUCUAAUAAGUAAGAAAGGCAUACUUCUUUAUCUCUACACAGACCCCAGCCUUCUCAAUGAGGUGAUCUGAAAACCACUCAGGCCACUAUGCUCUAAGGUAGCCAAGAUGGAUGAGAAAAAGAAACCAAGGAUGGCUCUGAGCCACAUCCUAAAAUCAAGAUUGUCAUCUGCCCUUAGCACCCUGUUAGCUAAUUUCUAUGUCUGGGACAAGGCCAUUAGAAUUACCUGUAUCCCCCUCUCCUAGCACAAACACACAGGCACACACUGUUCCAGUUACCUAUCACUGCUACUUGAAAUUUUAGUAGCGUAAAAUAACAACCACUUCAUUAGAGCUCACAUCUUUGUGGAUCAAGAAUUUAGGCAGGCAUUGGCUGAGAGAUUCUUCUGUUCCAUGUGGCAUUGACAAAAGUCACUUCUGGUAUACGGCUGGCAGACAGAGUGGCCUAGAGAGUCCACAAUGGCUUCACUCAUAGGCCUGACACCUUUCUGAGGAUGGCUGGAAAGUUGGGUUCAGCUACACCUGUGGUCAGGAGACCCUACAUGAGACCUUUCCAGCUUGGAAGCAUCAGAGUAGACAGACUUGUUAUGUCGUGGCUCAUGGCCCUAAGGAUGACUCUGUCAGUGAACAAGGAAGUCAUUGUAUGUUUUAUGUGGCUUACACAUGAAAGUUACAUAAUGCCCCUCUGCCAUACCCAAUUGGUAAAAGCUAAUAUAAAUACAUCCAUAGUUCGGGGUAUAGAUCUCACCUCUUAAUGGAAGGAAUAUUGAGGAAUGUGUGUCCAUGUUUUGAAAUUGCCACAAUUAUGUACACACAAUCUUUUUCAUUUCAAAUUCCAAGAUCUGGGUAUGAGCAGGAAAAAUGUCCCAGCUGAAAGGAGUCAAAGUUCAUAUCUUUCUUCUUUCUCCAUCUUGCCUUCAUAAUUGACUUCUUUCUAUCUGUCUCAGUUUCCAUAAAACCUUACAACAUAAAGAAUAUUUAUAGCUGAAGAUAUAGUCUGGAACUCGCUCUGCUAAUUUUGAGUUGUAUGACAUUAGGUGAAACAUUUGCUGUUUUAGCCUUAAUGUCCUCAUCCUGAGAAUGGAGAUGAAAAUACCCUCUCACAUGUUUUUGUAAGAGCAAAACAGGAUAACAUACGUCAAAAUGCUUAACAGACAUUACUGUUUUUAUUGCUUUUAUUAGAGAGAAAUUUGUAUAUUGUAUAAAUAGUAUGCCCCAACUUUAAGAGUAACUAAAAUGUAGAGGUGGGGAGAUUUUACCUUAACCAAAUGAGCGACGUCUUGGCUUUCUGGGAAAUUAAAGAAGCAACAAACUUACCCUUCUCACAUUUACAUUUUAUUUAAUGGAGGAUUUUUUUCCACUUUCCCUUUCUCCUUAAUGUUUUGUCUUAUUUCAAAUUUGUCAGAUACUAUGUGAUGUCAGGAAAUAGUCCUAAGAAGCAGUUUAGCUCUGUUGAUGGUGAAGUGAGUUGUUUCUCUUCUCUCACUGCCCCUGAAUCCUCUUACACAUUACAAGUUGAAAUUUGAACACAGUCUUUUGUGGUAACUCAAAAGGAUCUCAGGCCUAUAGAAAACAGGUAGGAUAGAUUGUUAGGCCAGUGAAAUUUUGAUAUUCUCCCAAAUCUUACCAAUAACUAGCUGCUGAUUUUUUUUUCUUUUCUGUCAUAGGAUAGGAUACUCCUUUAGCAAAGAAAUGAGUUUAUGUGGCUCAGGUUCAAGUAUACCUCAUUAUUGUGGGAUGGUAGAUGAAGGAAUUAGCAGGCUUUUGUGUAAUGUUAAGAUCAUGAGCUUUGGCAUAAAACAAACCUGGACUUAAAUUCUGGCUCCACCAAUUACUAGUCAUAUUGCCUCGCACAGUUACUAAUUUCCUAAGCUUCAAUUUUCUCAUCCAAACAAAUGAUGAUGUUAAUAGCAUCUUUCUCAUGAGGUUGUUGCAGGAUAAUUGAAAUAUGUCACUCUGCACUGUAUCUGGCGCUCAGGGCAUACGCAUUAAAUCAUGGGUGAUACAAUGAAAUCGCUGAAAUCACUGUUAUUAAUAGUUAUAAUUAGUAAUAAUAAUGUUUAUAUGUAAUAGUUAAAAAACCUUAUCUAGCCAGGACUUGUAAGUUAUUCUCAUAUUUCACUUAGCUCCAUAUAAGCCUUGUCCUCUUUCAUUCCAUUUUCUCCAGGGGCUUCCUGCAAGUCACCUGAAGGCCUUCUUUGAAGGGAGCUGUCCUCCUCAAAAGACCACUUGGCAGACCUGGGGAGAAGCCAAAUGUUAUAUCCUAUGUGGAAACUUAGCCAAGAAAACCAGUGUAUUAGUCUAUCCUCAAUUAAUUCGGAAUCCAGUAGGACAGCAGGCCAUUGCUGGGCAUCUCAAAAUCUCUAAAACAUUUUAUCUGCCCUUCCUCUAUUCUCCAAAUCCACGCAUUAUGGAAAGGUACUGCCACCCCCGCCACACCCAAAAAAGGCAUGUAUCCUUUGAUGUAUCUAAUUCCCCCCAUUCACUCUGGUUAAAGAAGCAGCUACUCUAUUUGAUACUGAUACUGAUUUUUCCCCUAGCAAGAGAACGUAAAUUGGCAUCUUUGUCUAUAAAUCAUAGCCUCUUUUUCCUCUGCCAACUCUCCCUCCCUGGGCCUAGUCUCCUUGCAAUUCCUUUUUUUUUUUUUUUUCUGUAUCCUAGCGUAGAUGAGUACAUCUGUUCUCCAAGCAGGAAGAUGAUUUUUCAUUUCAUCAAAACUUACUUUGAACCAGAACUCCCUUCACUUGUUAUAUCAAGGUUGGAGACUCUCAGAGCUCCCCAGCUGACCCUACCCCAGGACAUCGUAGGCAGGAGAAUCUCUUUCUUUAAGGCCCAGGACAAAUAUACGUCCCCUCCAUGGAGCAUCUGCUUUUCCCUUGAACAAUCAGCUCCUUACACUUGUUGGCCAAAUCAGGCUACUUGCAGCUUUUU